UUGUGGCUCAGCGGUAGAGCGCUCGCCUGGUACAUGCAGGGCCCUGGGUUCGAUCCACAGCUAAA
rnacentral:tRNA from 1 species